AGCCGCCCGCGCCGCCCGGGGCCCCUCAGACCGCCGGGAUCCUCCGGGAUCCUCUGGGAUCCUCCGGGAUCCGGGACCCCUCAGACCGCCGGGAUCCUCCGGGAUCCUCUGGGAUCCUCCGGGACCCCUCAGACCGCCGGGAUCCUCCGGGAUCCUCUGGGAUCCUCCGGGAUCCGGGACCCCUCAGACUGCCGGGAUCCUCCGGGAUCCGGGACCCCUCAGACACCCAGGAUCCUCCGGCACUGCCCGGGGCCCUCCGGGAUCCUCUGAGGCCCCUCAGACCUUCAGGACCUGCUGGGUUCCCCCGGGCCCCCGGAAUGUCGGAGCUGUGCCCUUGAGCCAGUUAGCCGUUCCCCUCAGGCUCGAGGCUGCAAACCUUUGUGAGGAGAGGCCAGGAAUGCACCUGCCGGGUGAAACGAUGCUGAGGGUUGUCGUUCCCAGCGGGAGUUGCACUUGAACCGUAGAAGAGCAAGCUGAAGUUAAUUGUGAUCAUGAUUAUUGCCUUUUGGGGGUUUUCCCUGUGUACCCCAUGAGGUACCAAGAAAGUUUUAGUCACGAGGACGACUCAUCCAAGCGGAGUGCGUUGCCUCAGUCCUGUGCCGUGCAGAACUCUGCCAAGGCUUUUUGUCUUGUUAAACCAAGUGGUGUGACGAGUGUGAAGGAUUUUCCCAUGGCAGAGGUGUGUAAUGUGAAGUAAAAGCUGCAACUGUUAGUUGGCUCUUGCCGUAAUUGAUGGACACUGCCAGUUGCUUAGACAGAUGGGAAUUAAUGCUGGUGUUCCCAUUAGAACUUGCCAUCGCAAUCGCGUUGGCGUUGCUCUCCUGCGCAGAGUUGAUGUGUCUAAGCCGGUGUGUGUGGAAGGAGCAAGCACAGCUCAUACCUGCAGUCCUUCCUUCCGAUGUAUUGGAGCCGCCGAUCCAACACAGAGCAGAUGAACUGCUUGCCAGCAGCUUACAGAACACUUCACAAUGGUAAGGAAAAUGCUUCAUUCCUUGAUGUUCAGAGGAACGUGGUUCAGCGAGCUGGACUGUCAUCCCCGGAGGCAUCUGUGAGCUGUAUUCAGAGGGUGUUGCAGGGCCUUGUAUCCCAGUCGCCUCCUCUGGAUCUCCAGUGACCGGCACAGCCGCAGCAGGACCUCCCAGGUGACUACUGUGAGGCACAGCCAGAGGUGAAGACAGAGCAGGAUGGUCCCUCCCACUUCCACGGACUGACAGCAAACCCAGCUUCUAUGAGAAGAGCCACUCCUGCCGGGAUGAGCACCUAUGAUGCCACCAGGCCGGACCCUCCUGAGGGCAGCCUCAGCCCAGGUCACAGGGUGAGGCCAUGAUUCCACUGACCAGGAGCAUCCCUCUGGAGGAAGCACUGCUAUCCACAUGGUUCGGAUCCAGGCUUCUUUUGGCCCUUCAGCACAACAGAACUCUGGUAAAUUCAUGAUUGAUAACUGUGUUAAUCUCUUGCCUGUCAGUCACUAUUUUAACUAAAGGGGCGGGUGUGUCUUCCACAGAAGAGGACUUUUUUCCUUUAGGGAGGCCACAGGACAAAUAUUUUCUGGUAUUUAGUGCAGUGCUUCACUCAUCAGGAUGCAUCACUUUGUGCUGGGGACCAAUCCUGAACUCUGGCUGAACAGGGCAGACAGAAAGGAAUACUCUUACAGGUGCUUUCCUCCACUUGCUCUAACUGUGAACUGAAGAAUUUUAACAGUAAUACAGGUCUAUUCUGGAAGUUUAAGAGACAUUUUUGUGCCAGUUAAGCUCUCCAGUCUAUACAAACAAAUAACCACUUAACAAAUGGCAGUGGCAAUAUUUUAGCAGGAAACAUUUAAGGGAAAGUGGUGCUCCAGCUUCCUUCUCAUACUUAGUUUUGCAUCUCCUUGCAAUUGCAGCAAUUUAGAAGAUCCAAUGUAAACAUUGACUUGGCUAAGUGCUACUGAAGUUUCUUUUUUAAAACCCUCAGUCGACAAUUUCUUGAGCAUAAUAAUUUCCCCUUUUCACUGAAUACACACCACCAAACUACCACUGAACAAGAAGUGAACUGAUUCUUCCACUGUAACAUCAGUUACUGCUGGGGCACUUAGAUUUUCAGUCUGGGAAGUGCACUACCUGUAAGCAGCUACAGUAAUCUUUCUCCGAGAUUACUUGAUAUGAACAUACUAAAGAUAACUUGUUAUUUCUCUGUGCAUUUCACCAUUUUGCAGUGAUUAAAAAGGAAACUAGAGGAGGAAGUGCAGAAGAACCACAAAGGUAACUGGUGACAUGUCCCCACCUCAGAGGACUCAGCGCUGUCAGUGUCUCUCACACUGCAGGUAGUGCUGGUGGCAGUCACCAUGCAGAAUAUAAUGCUUUUGUGUAAUGCAGAGAUGCUCAGAAAGUAACAGUUUAAACAGAUGUUUGUGUUAACUCUGUACCCAUUAACUGCAAAGAACCUUUAAAGCAAAUACUAAUAGGCUUAAAACUAAAAACAAGUACAAGUGUUUUCCUUUUUAAUAGGCUGUUUUGUACAUGAAAGUACCAGCUGAAAGCAUUCCUCACUUCUACUCUAUUCUGAUUCUUUCAGAAUGAGCUAUAAUCCUUUUUCCCUUUUUACCCGUUGCACCUAUUUGCACCCUGAUAGGGCAAAAUCUUCACUACAACUGCCACAGGCUAUUUGUGGACUUAAAAAUUUGUGUGCAUAAAUGCACACAGGAUCAGAGUCUCAGCCACCAUCGUAUUGCGACAAGCUCAAAGAAUCCAGAACCCUGAUCACCUUUUGGUGCUAAACUAUGAGUUGGAAAAUAAAUACAAGGAUUUAGAGGAAAGACCAGAACCCUGGGGCUGAUGCUGUGACUCUGCGUGAGGCUGUGUUCCCAGGCAGCCCUAGACUCCUGGGAAGAGGGGUUUGGUACAGACCCCUAGACGCUGAACUGGUUUAUGAGAGUACCCCAAACUGCUGUGGCUUAGUCUUCUUUGCCCCUUUAAUAAAAAAAAGAAGAAAGUCUAGCUAGGAGCAUGGACGCAGGGUAAUGCAUCAUUUAUAAAUUACCUUGUUAGUGCAGAAAACAACACAUGGCUCUGCAGCCGAAAUCUCCUGCUGCGGACUCGCUCUGUUUGAUGGGAGCCCUUCAAAAGCAUUGGUGGCUUAAAUGGAGGCAGUUUGUGGGGACCUCGCUCCGUACCUGCUGUCCC